AUGUCGGGAAGGGAUAAACGCUGAAAGCAUCUAAGCGUGAAGCCCACCUCAAGAUUAGAUUUCCCAUAGUUUAACUAGUAAGAUCCCUGGAAGACUACCAGGUUGAUAGGUCAGAGGUGUAAGUGCAGUAAUGCAUUAAGCUGACUGAUACUAAUAGAUCGAGGACUUGAUCAA
rnacentral:rRNA from 1 species